AUUGAACGCUGGCGGCAGGCCUAAGACAUGCAAGUCGAGCGAGAAAGCCCUUCGGGGUGAGUACAGCGGCGGACGGGUGAGUAACGCGUAGGAAUCUACCCAGUAGUGGGGGACAACUAGUGGAAACGCUAGCUAAUACCGCAUACGCCCUAAGGGGGAAAGCGGGGGAUCUUCGGACCUCGUGCUAUUGGAUGAGCCUGCGUAAGAUUAGCUUGUUGGUGGGGUAAUGGCUCACCAAGGCGACGAUCUUUAGCUGGUCUGAGAGGAUGAUCAGCCACACCGGGACUGAGACACGGCCCGGACUCCUACGGGAGGCAGCAGUCGGGAAUAUUGCGCAAUGGGGGAAACCCUGACGCAGCCAUGCCGCGUGUGUGAAGAAGGCCCUAGGGUUGUAAAGCACUUUCAAUUGGGAGGAAAAGCUAAUGGUUAAUAGCCAUUAGCCCUGACGUUACCUUUAGAAGAAGCACCGGCUAACUCCGUGCCAGCAGCCGCGGUAAUACGGAGGGUGCAAGCGUUAAUCGGAAUUACUGGGCGUAAAGCGCGCGUAGGCGGCUCUUUAAGUCGGAUGUGAAAGCCCCGGGCUCAACCUGGGAACUGCAUCCGAUACUGGAGGGCUAGAGUGUAGGAGAGGGAGGUAGAAUUCCAUGUGUAGCAGUGAAAUGCGUAGAUAUAUGGAGGAAUACCAGUGGCGAAGGCGGCCUCCUGGCUUAACACUGACGCUGAGGUGCGAAAGCGUGGGGAGCAAACGGGAUUAGAUACCCCGGUAGUCCACGCCGUAAACGAUGUCUACUAGCUGUAGGGGUACUUGAGACCUUUGUAGCGCAGCUAACGCACUAAGUAGACCGCCUGGGGAGUACGGCCGCAAGGUUA
rnacentral:rRNA from 1 species